rnacentral:rRNA from 1 species
UACGAAGGGGACUAGCGUUGUUCGGAAUCACUGGGCGUAAAGCGCACGUAGGCGGAUAUGUCAGUCAGGGGUGAAAUCCCGGGGCUCAACCUCGGAACUGCCUUUGAUACAGCACGUCUCGAGUCCGGAAGAGGUGGGUGGAAUUCCUAGUGUAGAGGUGAAAUUCGUAGAUAUUAGGAAGAACACCGGUGGCGAAGGCGGCCCACUGGUCCGGUACUGACGCUGAGGUGCGAAAGCGUGGGGAGCAAACAGG